rnacentral:rRNA from 1 species
AAAAACCUCGACUUCGGAAGAGGUGUAUUUAUUAGAUAAAAAACCAAUGCCCUUCGGGGCUCCUUGGUGAUUCAUAAUAACUUUACGAAUCGCAUGGYCUUGCGCCGGCGAUGGUUCAUUCAAAUUUCUGCCCUAUCAACUUUCGAUGGUAAGAUAGUGGCUUACCAUGGUGGCAACGGGUAACGGGGAAUUAGGGUUCGAUUCCGGAGAGGGAGCCUGAGAAACGGUAAGCUUUCUAUCCAUCACUUGAUCCCUUUCAGACACUAACAUAUCUCAAUAGGCUACCACAUCCAAGGAAGGCAGCAGGCGCGCAAAUUACCCAAUCCCGACACGGGGAGGUAGUAAGUCUAACCAUUCUAUUCCCCUCCUACAUUCUCUGUGCGGGUCUCUGUACGGGGGUGUGAUCCAGUGGGGCUUCGAUGGUGGUGUGGCCCUGGGGGAUGUCAAUCAUAUACUUUGAAGCCCCCACUGGGGAGCACCUUCCUAGAGGGAAUAACACUUACGGAACAACGUGCUAACAUCUCUUUCUAGGUGACAAUAAAUACUGAUGUGGAGCUCUUUUGGGUUUCACAAUUGGAAUGAGUACAGUCUAAAUCUCUUAACGAUUAGCAAUUGGAGGGCAAGUCUGGUGCCAGCAGCCGCGGUAAUUCCAGCUCCAAUAGCGUAUAUUAAAGUUGUUGCAGUUAAAAAGCUCGUAGUUGAACCUUGGGCCUGGCCGGCCGGUCCGCCUCACCGCGUGCACUGGUUCGGCUGGGCCUUUCCUUCUGGGAACGCAUGCCCUUCACUGGGUGUGCCGGGAMCAGGACUUUACUUGAAAAAUUAGAGUGUCAAGCAGCUAUGCUCGAUACAUAGCAUGAUAAUAGAUAGACGUGCGUCUAUUUGUGUUCUAG